rnacentral:miRNA from 1 species
UAUAAGCAAGUAGAAUUUAAU